rnacentral:rRNA from 1 species
UACGUAGGGGGCAAGCGUUGUCCGGAAUCAUUGGGCGUAAAGAGCGUGUAGGCGGCUCGGUAAGUCCGUUGUGAAAGUCCAGGGCUCAACCCUGGAAUGCCGGUGGAAACUGUCGAGCUAGAGUCCGGAAGAGGCGAGUGGAAUUCCUGGUGUAGCGGUGAAAUGCGCAGAUAUCAGGAGGAACACCAAUGGCGAAGGCAGCUCGCUGGGACGGUACUGACGCUGAGGCGCGAAAGCGUGGGGAGCGAACAGG